AAUAGAUACCCCGGUAGUCCACGCCGUAAACGAUGUCGACUUGGAGGUUGUGCCCUUGAGGCGUGGCUUCCGGAGCUAACGCGUUAAGUCGACCGCCUGGGGAGUACGGCCGCAAGGUUAAAACUCAAAUGAAUUGACGGGGGGCCCGCACAAGCGGUGGAGCAUGUGGUUUAAUUCGAUGCAACGCGAAGAACCUUACCUACUCUUGACAUCCAGAGAACUUAGCAGAGAUGCUUUGGUGCCUUCGGGAACUCUGAGACAGGUGCUGCAUGGCUGUCGUCAGCUCGUGUUGUGAAAUGUUGGGUUAAGUCCCGCAACGAGCGCAACCCUUAUCCUUUGUUGCCAGCGGUUAGGCCGGGAACUCAAAGGAGACUGCCAGUGAUAAACUGGAGGAAGGUGGGGAUGACGUCAAGUCAUCAUGGCCCUUACGAGUAGGGCUACACACGUGCUACAAUGGCAUAUGCAAAGAGAAGCGACCUCGCGAGAGCAAGCGGACCUCAUAAAGUAUGUCGUAGUCCGGAUUGGAGU
rnacentral:rRNA from 1 species